CUGGGCUCGAAAUGCAGAUGACCAUCGGCGAAAGUCGACUUCCGCAAGGACGUCUGUAUAGGUGCUGCAUGGCUGUCGUCAGCUCGUGUCGUGAGAUGUUGGGUUAAGUCCCGCAACGAGCGCAACCCUUGUUCUCUGUUGCCAUCAGGUCAAGCUGGGCACUCUGAGGAGACUGCCGGUGACAAACCGGAGGAAGGUGGGGAUGACGUCAAGUCAGCAUGGCCUUUAUGUCCAGGGCUACACACGUGCUACAAUGGCCAGUACAAAGCGUCGCAAGCCCGCGAGGGUGAGCCAAUCGCAUAAAGCUGGUCUCAGUUCGGAUUGCAGGCUGCAACUCGCCUGCAUGAAGUUGGAAUCGCUAGUAAUCGCGGAUCAGCAUGCCGCGGUGAAUACGUUCCC
rnacentral:rRNA from 1 species